rnacentral:lncRNA from 1 species
AGCCGUGGUGCUCAUGUGAAGAUCAGAGGAUGUCUUGUAGGAGUCGAUUCUCUCAUUCCACCUGUGGGUCCUGAGGAUCAAACUCAGACAUCAGUGUUCAUGAAAGCCACAUUAUACAAUAGGCCAUCCUGGCCACCCCAUGGCCAUUUAUGAUUUAAGUCCAAACUUUGGAAGUAGUGGAGGCAGGAGAGAAAGAAGGGGACGGGGACACACACACACACACACACACAAAGGCACACAUGCACACACACAAACAUGACUCUUUCCUUUUAAAAGAAAGACAGAAUCUUUCACAAAUCAUCUUAGCUUUCUUGUCUAUGUAUCCUUGGCUUGAAUUGGAUUCCAUGGCCAUUUUAGGCUACAAGAUAGGCUGGGAUAGGAAAGACCUGACUUUGUAUCCUCUAUAGCAUGAAGAGAGGGAGAGACAGAGACAGAUGGAGAGAGACAGAGAGAGAUGGAAAGACACAUAGAGACACACAGACAGAGACACAGAAAGACAAAGAGACAGAGAGAAGGGGGGCUGACAAAGUUGACCACAACCUUGCAAAGGUUCCCUACCAACUGUAUGAGUCUUGUGAGACGGAGCACCUCACAAGUCCGGCAAACAGACCCAUUACCUCAGAGACAGCAAGGGUAAAGAAGAGGACAAGGAUCCACACCAAGCCAGUGCUUCAAGACUCCGGGAAAUUGCCCAGGCUGGGUGGAGUUCAUUCUGUGUGUGCUCCACACUGCAAUACAGCUGAGGGUCCCUGGAAACACUUACCCUCGGUACAUACCUCCCAGGGCAUGCUGAGCCGCAUCACAGCACAGCACCCAGCCCUAGGCAGAAGAGGGGCACAGCAGGUCUGCCAGACUUUGUACCUCGGGCGCUGUACACUCCACAUAUUUAUUUCCAAGAAACUCAAGCGAGACAGAAAGGACAGGGGCCAGCUGAUGCCAUCGGAUGGCUCUGCUGCACACCUCAGAGAGAGAUACAUGAUAUGCAGCAUAUCAAUUUAUUUUCAUAGGCGUAUACCCAGGGCGGUGACAGUUCAUUGGCUUUUACAUUUUUUUCCUUGAAGAGGGCAUGUUUUAAUGGAGAGACUUGAUAGCUGUAUCUAAAUGAUGGGUGUUGUAAUACAUGACACAGAAUUAUGGUGGUGGUACCUCCCUGCUCCUGUUAGCCAUGACCCAGAAUGGUGUCCGCUCUUGACACGUUGUGUGUAAAGCUCGGCAGCUGAAUUGGGGUAACCUCUGCUCUUGAGGUAGGAAGUGGGUUAGAUGUGCCUCUCCUAGUUGAAGUCCACAUAAGCCCAGAGUAAGGCAGCCCAUGUUCAAAGAGAGAUAAAAUUCCUUCCUUUGUCUGAAGCUUGGACUUAAGUUUAAGUUGCAAUGAUCUAGCUGGUUCCAGAAUUCUCAAAAUUGUGGGGUCACCGUGACAUUGAAGGAGACAGGAUUGUAUUAGUGCUGUUGCUAAUGUCAUUAAAUAGAUGACCAAAGUAUGUAAUGAAGGUUCUCUUUUAUCUUACAGUUUGAAGUACAGACCACCAUGACUGGGAAGCCAUGAGGUAGCUGGUUACUCUGUGUCCACAAUCAAGAAGCAGAGAGGGACCAGUACUGCUGGCAUUCAGUGCUGAUGCUCAGUGCUGGUGCUCAGUGCUGGUAUGUACUCAGUGCUGGUGUGGAGUGGGGGAACGUUUCAACAGAUACGCAAGAGCACAAGCAG